UACAGAGGGUGCAAGCGUUAAUCGGAAUUACUGGGCGUAAAGCGUGCGCAGGCGGUUUUGUAAGUCAGAUGUGAAAUCCCCGGGCUUAACCUGGGAAUUGCAGUGGAUACUGGCAAGCUGGAGUAUGGUAGAGGAAGGUGGAAUUCCCGGUGUAGCAGUGAAAUGCGUAGAGAUCGGGAGGAACACCAGUGGCGAAGGCGGCCUUCUGGACCAAUACUGACGCUCAUGCACGAAAGCGUGGGGAGCAAACAGG
rnacentral:rRNA from 1 species